rnacentral:rRNA from 1 species
CAAAAGCGCAUAUUAAAGUUGUUGCAGUUAAAAAGCUCGUAGUUGAACCUUGGGCUUGGCUGGCCGGUCCAUCUUUUUUGAUGCGUACUGGACCCAGCCGAGCCUUUCCUUCUGGCUAGCCUUUUGGCGAACCAGGACUUUUACUUUGAAAAAAUUAGAGUGUUCAAAGCAGGCCUUUGCUCGAAUAUAUUAGCAUGGAAUAAUAGAAUAGGACGUUAUGGUUCUAUUUUGUUGGUUUCUAGGACCAUCGUAAUGAUUAAUAGGGACGGUCGGGGGUAUCAGUAUUCAGUUGUCAGAGGUGAAAUUCUUGGAUUUACUGAAGACUAACUACUGCGAAAGCAUUUACCAAGGACGUUUUCAUUAA